rnacentral:rRNA from 1 species
UACGAAGGGGGCUAGCGUUGCUCGGAAUUACUGGGCGUAAAGCGCACGUAGGCGGCUUUCUAAGUCGGAGGUGAAAUCCUGGGGCUCAACUCCAGAACUGCCUUCGAUACUGGAGAGCUUGAGUCCGGGAGAGGUGAGUGGAACUGCGAGUGUAGAGGUGAAAUUCGUAGAUAUUCGCAAGAACACCAGUGGCGAAGGCGGCUCACUGGCCCGGUACUGACGCUGAGGUGCGAAAGCGUGGGGAGCAAACAGG